CACUGCUGCAAUCUCCCCUUGAUAGAGCCAGCGGGCAGUAGUCCCAGCGCAGGAGGCCCGGCGGUCAGAGCUCACACUGUCAGCCGCCAGCGCUGCGCUGCACCUCCUCCUGCCUCGUAACCAAUGGCAACCCGGCGCCAACACAUCACGCUGCGCGCUGCCGCUCUCUCGUCCCCGCGCCGCGUGCUGCCGCUCUCUCCUACUGUACCCAGCCUUUACUCACUGUGCGCUGAGCGCUCUCUCCUCCUGAAGCUGCUGUUUAUGGGCACCAUUAGGAGUCACAAACGCUCCUUCCUGUCCUAGGAUGCCAGCCAGUGGGGCAAAGACUUAAGUGGAUGCCGUAUACAGUACCAGUUCCCCAAAAGAGCUAUUUUUCAGAGGGAAUACCGAAUUAUAGGAAACCUACUGGAGAGAUGAAAGUCAGCUCCCGCUUCAUGUUACAAAGCAGUAGAACAGGCAGCCAGAAUGCAGUAGGACAGUAUGCAGUGCAAGCAGAGACACAGGAGUAGCAGGAUUCAUGAGCUGUCGAUGUAGCUUUCCGACCAGAGGAGAGAUAGGAAGGUCCCGCAAUUAACUGGAAGCAUCCACCAUCUUCACCUGGCUUUGGUCAACACCUCUCCUCCCCCCUUCCUCACCACCUGUGUGCUGGUCCCACAGAGACUGUGAUGUUUGGAACCAUAAGAAGCUCCCUUUAAUACAAAAUAAACAACAAACAUCA